CGUGGAAGGUAGUGUUAUGAUU
rnacentral:miRNA from 1 species